GUAGUCUAAUUCGAAGCAAACGCGAAGACCUUACCAGGUCUUGACAUCCCGAUGCUAUUCUAGAGAUAGAAGUUACUUCGGUACAUCGGUGACAGGUGGUGCAUGGUUGUCGUCAGCUCGUGUCGUGAGAUGUUGGGUUAAGUCCCGCAACGAGCGCAACCCCUAUUGUUAGUUGCCAGCGGUUCGGCCGGGCACUCUAACGAACUGCCCGCGCAAGCGGGAGGAAGUGGGACGACGUCAAGUCAUCAUGGCCCUUAUGCCUGGGCGACACACGUGCUACAAUGGAUAGGACAGAAAGACGCAAGACCGCGAGGUGGAGCAAAUCUUUAAACCUAUUCUCAGUUCGGAUUGGAGUCUGCAACUCGACUCCAUGAAGCUGGAAUCGCUAGUAAUCGCGGAUCAGCCAUGCCGCGGUCGAAUACGUUCCCGGGCCUU
rnacentral:rRNA from 1 species